CUGACUUUUUUGUCUUUUAACUUUUAUUAAACUCAUCCAGUCAGAGUCAGAGAUAAAAAAGUCAGAAUUCUGAGAUUAAAAAGUCGGAAUUUCGACUUAAUAAGUCAGAAUUCUGAUAAAUGAGUUUUUUUUACUCUACCAGGUCGCGGAAACGGGCUUCCAUACUAGAUAAACCGCUCUUUUGAUUCUAUGCAGUUAAUCUAAAUCUGGCAAUAUUGAUAAUAGGUAAAUGGCAAUACUGGCCUCUAGUGGACAAAUGUCGGGACAAUACCUUAAAUGAAAGGUUGCCCAAGGCUAUAGUAUACUAUCCGAUAAGAACGCAAAACUUUUAAGAGGCCGAAAAUGGAUUUAGACGAAGUAUUGUGGUCAAAAACAUGAUGUAAUCGCUGAUUAAGUUAAUUAAUCUCUUAUUAUGGAGGAUUCCUGUUCAUUCAGUUGUGUAGCCGUGACGUUAUGAAUCUCUUCGUGUUUCUACAAUGCGAAAGUGUGAUUUAGAGCAGUUUCAUAUGUGCAUUAUUUCCGCGAAAAAUGUGAUCAUUUUCGAUUUAUUUUUCGAUUGCGGUGAUAGUUUCAUCUUGUGUACACUAGGUGGCAGCAAAACACAGGCUACGCCGCAGGGGAGGCAGCAACGCCCGAGCAGCUAAAAAAAGAAGCAUCUGGAAUGCCUAAAUACAUUUUCCUGAAUAAGGAAGCCUACCUACAAUUAGGAGGUUUGAAAAUGCGUAGAUGUAUACGUGUAUAUUGCAAGGACAGUAACCAAACAGAAUUGUCUUCGUCAAAUUAAUGUAUAAUUUUCACCGAAAUGAACAAAGUAUGAAAUGCAGUAAGUGGACAUUAAAUAUGUCUAUUAUUAUGUCACAUCAACUAAUAGUUUGCGUCCGUCAACAUCCAUCAGCAGUUUUUUUUUUCUGCCAAUAUGUCAGAAUUCUUUUUUCAACCUAUAUUGCCACUCUCGUGGAGCUAGAGUUAAACGCUGUCAGGCGGUACUUUUCUCUGAGACUGGCUGACAUCUCCAUUACUCGCCCCUGAUCUUCCCGUUUCCUAUCUGUCAACCGGGAACGCUUUGUGCACAUUCCGCCUCUCUGUUUGCAUGGGAGAAGCCGUUUUGGCUGGGCGCUUCUCUUACAUAAGGUAGAGAAGCCAUGUCCAGAGAAAUCCCACUUUAGAUGGACCACCAUAAAGGGCACGAAACUGGCGAUCCCAUCCUCCCAGUAUUGCCGUAAGUUUCAUACGGAGAAAGAUGUUGUUGUUGUUGUUAUUAUUAUUAUUAGUAGUAGUAUUAUGGCAUACUCUGCGUGCUUUAUAUUGGUUUUGUAAAUGUUAUUAACCCUUUUAGCGCCUGGAUGCUCACGACCCGUUAGCAUUUAGCUUGGUUGGAAAAAGGGAGUGCUGGGCAAUGACAGACAUUAUCCAGUGUUUGCCUGAUUCCUCCACCGGCAAACCGGAUUUAUUUAAUCAAAGGCUGUAUGAGAAGUUACUAGUUGCUGCUGGUGGAAGAGGGGUGGGGUCGUAUGGGUUUUCUGGCGGAGACCGAAUGGGGUGCCAACGACUGACCCUUUGCAUGACUGACAGAAAUGUUAUCGCAGCACAUUCUCCUGGCGGCCUCAGUGGAAAUUUCCAGCUCCUGGCGUAUGACAUCGUCUGGACUGCGCACGGCCGGUUGGGGCUCCGGCUUCCUGUGCGUAUCAUGUACAUAUAUGGACCACUGUCAUAAAUCCCGCCCAGCACAGCGUGGUAUUUUUCAAAUGACUUGCAGCAGAAUGGAAAUCGUAUUUCGUAAGGGAUUGUUAUGUACUCUGCUUUCAUGUUUAUGCUGUAUUGUUGAACUGUAUUUUGGUCUAACUUAUUAAGUUUAUAUUCACCCAUGUUUUAAAGAAUAUUUAAUUUUAAAUCUGAAAAGAGAUUUAAUCACUAGAAGCAUACAUUUGUGUUUAUAUGAGACUCUUUAACUCUUAAGCAAGUAUUAGAUCAAUUAGGAUCAUACACAAGGCACAGACCAGAAAAAGGAACUUCUUCAAGGCACAGACCAGAAAAAGCAGUGUCCUUAAUACAUUAACCAGAAAAGGAGCGUCCUUAAGGCAUAGACCAGAAAAAGGAGCGUCCUCAAGGCACAGACCAGAAAAGGAGCAUCCUCAAGGCACAGACCAGAAAAAGGAGCGUCCUCAAGGCACAGACCAGAAAAAGCAGUGUCCUCAAGGCACAGACCAGAAAAAGCAGUGUCUUCAAGGCACAGACCAGAAAAGGGAGCGUCCUUAAGGCACAGACCAGAAAAGGGAGCGUCCUCAAGGCACAGACCAGAAAAAGGAGUGUCCUCAAGGCACAGACCAGAAAAAGCAGUGUCUUCAAGGCACAGACCAGAAAAAGCAGUGUCUUCAAGACACAAACCAGAAAACGGAGUGUCCUCAAGGCACAGACCAGAAAAAGGAGCGUCCUUAAGGCACAGGCCAGAAAAGGGAGCGUCCUCAAGGCACAGACCAGAAAAGGAGCGUCCUCAAGGCACAGACCAGAAAAAGGAGCAUCCUCAAGGCACAGACCAGAAAAAGGAGUGUCCUCAAGGCACAGACCAGAAAAAGGAGUGUCCUCAAGGCACAGACCAGAAAAAGGAGCGUCCUCAAGGCAUUAACCAGAAAAAGCAGCGUCCUGAAGGCACAGACCAGAAAAGGGAGCAUCUUCAAGGCACAGACCAGAAAAAGCAGUGUCCUCAAGGCACAGACCAGAAAAGGGAGCAUCUUCAAGGCACAGACCAGAAAAAGCAGCGUCCUCAAGGCACAGACCACAGCUUGGUGAUGUCUCUUUGCUUGUUGAAAAACUGGGCCUUAAGGUACUCGUCCAGUGGAAAAGGGUACCAUUAUGAAGUGCCCUUCUAGUGGAGAGAAUGUGAUGCAGUGCCCUAUAAGGUGCCCUUACAGUGGUCUAAGUGGCCCUCAUGGAUACCCUUCCCAUGAAAAAGUAAAUGGUAAAUUUGAGGUGCCCUUUGGAUGCCUGUCUGGUGGAAAGAAACUCAUGAAGUGCUCCCUAAGGUUCUCUUACAAAUGAGCAAACACAAUGAAGUGCCAUUGUAAUGGGAAGAAAAAUCUCUCUCAUGGAUGCCCAUCCUGUGAAGAAAAUGAGAUAAGAAUGAGUGCCUCGCUAUGAGAUGCCAAUUCCUGUACAUGUGAUAAAAGUCAAUGAAAUAAUGUACCAUCUACGAGGUGUCCCUAUAUGUAAGAAAAUUAUCUGUACAGGUAUGCAUGUGUGGACGCUACUGGCGGCUCUGCCUUCGAGUAUGAGGUAGUUCCAGUUACCAUGGCAACGGUCUAAAUCCCACCGUACCAGUGCAACUUGACAGGGCACAAUUUGGCUGUAUUAUCCACUUGGGUCUUUGAAGUGUCCCGCAUUCACGAUAAUUGCAUGAAGGCGUCACCUUAUUACUGCUGGGCCACCCAGUACCCGCUAUUAACGGGGCCCGAAAGGAAGGGGCACAGCCAUCCCCACAGCUGAGCUGUCAUUCUGUAAUGAAUGGUGGGAAAGUCCGCCCCUCCCCCCCAGAAAGGGCUUUGAAAGCCACUGAUGGCAUGAAGCGACCUCAGGCUGGAGGGAGGAGGCCGUGCGGAGGGCCACAAGUAAAGACGGAUGCUUUCAUCCGUCGCAGGCAUUGGGUGUGAAUCACCGAUUACUGACGCGUCGUUAGGAAAACUCUGAAGAGACACUUCAGCCUUGGGUGUCUACUUUCAUUCAAAGGGCACAUAAAUUUGGGUCUUAAGUGCCAGGGGUGACAGGGAAGUGCUCCCUUUUCUGGUCUGUGCUUCAAGGAUGGUAUUUUUUCUUGUUCGUGCCUUGAGGACGCUCAUUUUCUGGUCUGUGUGUCGAGGAUGGUAUCUUUUCUUGUUCAUGCCUAGUGGAUAAUCCUUUUUUUGCACGUGAUUUGAGGACAAUCCUUUUCUGGUUAAUGCCUUGAGGACACUCCUUCUGGUCUGUGCCUCGAGGAUGAUCCUGUUUCUGGUCUGUGCCUCGAGGAUGAUCCUGUUUCUGGUCUGUGCCUUGAGGACGCUCCUUUUCUGGUCUGUGUCUUGAGGAUGCUCCUUUUCUGGUCUGUGCCUUGAGAACACUCCUUUUCUGGUCUGUGCCUUGAGAACACUCCUUUUCUGGUCUGUGCCUUGAGGACGCUCCUUUUCUGGUCUGUGCGUCGAGGAUGGUAUCUUUUCUUGUUCGUGCCUAGUGGAUGGUCCUUUUUUUGCAUGUGAUUUGAGGACAAUCCUUUUUUGGUUAAUGCCUUGAGGAUGCUCCUUCUGGUCUGUGCCUUGAGGAUGAUCCUGUUUCUGGUCUGUGCCUUGAGGAUGCUCCUUUUCUGGUCUGUGCCUUGAGGACACUCCUUUUUCUGGUCUGUGCCUUGAGGAUGCUCCUUUUCUGGUCUGUGCCUUGAGGAUGCUCCUUCUUCUGGUCUGUGCCUUGAGGAUGCUCCUUUUCUUGUCUGUGCCUUGAGGACGCUCCUUUUUUGGUCUGUGCCUUGAGGACGCUUCUUUUCUGGUCCGUGCCUUGAGGACGCUCCUUUUUCUGGUCUGUGCCUUGAGGACGCUCCUUUUCUGGUCUGUGCCUUGAGGACACUCCUUUUUCUGGUCUGUGCCUUGAGGAUGCUCCUUUUCUGGUCUGUGCCUUGAGGACGCUCCUUCUUCUGGUCUGUGCCUUGAGGAUGCUCCUUUUCUGGUCUGUGCCUUGAGGACGCUCCUUUUCUGGUCUGUGCCUUGAGGACACUCCUUUUUCUGGUCUGUGCCUUGAGGAUGCUCCUUUUCUGGUCUGUGCCUUGAGGAUGCUCCUUCUUCUGGUCUGUGCCUUGAGGACACUCCUUUUUCUGGUCUGUGCCUUGAGGACGCUCCUUUUUCUGGUCUGUGCCUUGAGGACACUCCUUUUUCUGGUCUGUGCCUUGAGGAAGGCCCUUUUUCUGGUUUGUGCCUUGAGAACACUCCUUUUUCUGGUCUGUGCCUUGAGGAAGGCCCUUUUUCUGGUUUGUGGCUUGCUUGGUUAUUAAGACUCCAUAUGAUAUGUUGUCACAACGCUUCUAAAUAAUAAUAAUAAUAUUCAACUCUGAUUGUGUUGGCAAAGACAUGUUGGGUGGUUGUGAUUUAAGAUUCUGCCGUCAUCACUAAGGAAUCCAAAGGGAGAGUGACAGCCCCAUUGCCUAAAGGGGGGUAAUGAAAUGGCCCACACCUCCUUUUAGCUCUGCUGUUUGUCUUUCUCUCCCAGCUUUCACACUGACAGCUCCCCUUUUCAGACCUGGUGAACUGCGCAGCCCCUCCAUAGGGGCCGGGCGGGGGGGCUGUAGUGCGUCACUGAUGAAUGAAAACACCUUGUUUCAAUGGGGGUUUGUGCCAUGCACCACACAAAUAGCAGGAACUGUGCUGGAGAUGGGCCCAACUUCCGCCUUCUGCUAGUAUGCCUGGUUUUUCUCCAAUAUUCUCCAGAAUCGGACAGGCCCCGGAAUUACUGAGAAGCAGUAAUUAUGUAUCACAUGUCUUCCUGGAGAGGGCACGACUUUGAUAUCUACCUCUAAAAGCAUUUUUGGCCCUCAUCUCCUCCAGUGAUUUGAUUUAUGCCACCAGGUGAUAAUCAGCUAAAUUAUGUGAACCGUGGAAUUACUGGGAAGGCUUUUGGGCCCCACAUCCUGCCUGAUGUUGCUUUGAUAUUUUGUUAAUGCAGAACCAUAGGAGGGGCUAAAUAAAAACAGCAAGGUGUGUCACAAA